UACGAAGGGGGCUAGCGUUGCUCGGAAUCACUGGGCGUAAAGCGCACGUAGGCGGCUUGUUAAGUCAGGGGUGAAAUCCCGGGGCUCAACCUCGGAACUGCCUUUGAUACUGCAAAUCUCGAGUCCGGAAGAGGUGAGUGGAAUUCCUAGUGUAGAGGUGAAAUUCGUAGAUAUUAGGAAGAACACCAGUGGCGAAGGCGGCUCACUGGUCCGGUACUGACGCUGAGGUGCGAAAGCGUGGGGAGCAAACAGGG
rnacentral:rRNA from 1 species